UACAGAGGGUGCGAGCGUUGUCCGGAAUCACUGGGCGUAAAGGGCGCGUAGGUGGCUGGGUAAGUGUGCGGUGAAAGCCCGGGGCUCAACCCCGGGUCGGCCGUGCAGACUGCUUGGCUUGAGCAUAGUAGAGGCAGGUGGGAUUCCGGGUGUAGCGGUGGAAUGCGUAGAGAUCCGGAAGAACACCGGUGGCGAAGGCGGCCUGCUGGGCUAUUGCUGACACUGAGGCGCGACAGCGUGGGGAGCAAACAGG
rnacentral:rRNA from 1 species